rnacentral:rRNA from 1 species
GACGAACGCUGGCGGCGUGCCUAAUACAUGCAAGUAGGACGCAGUUGCGAACGGGUGAGUAACGCGUAGGUAACUACCUAUUAGUGGGGGAUAACUAUUGGAAACGAUAGCUCAUACCGCAUACUAGUAGAUGGACCUGCGUUGUAUUAGCUAGUAGGUAGGGUAAUGGCCUACCUAGGCAACGAUACAUAGCCGACCUGGGAGGGUGAUCGGCCCAACUGGGAAUGGGACACGGGCCCGACUCCUACGGGAGGCAGCAGUAGGGAAUCUUCGGCAAUGGGGGGAACCCCGACCGAGCAACGCCGCGGGAGUGAAGAAGGUUUUCGGAUCGUAAAGCUCUGUUGUUAAGGAAGCGGUACUUACCCAGAAAGCCACGGCUAACUACGUGCCAGCCGCCGCGGUAAUUC